rnacentral:misc_RNA from 1 species
GGAAACCUUGUUACGACUUUACUUCCCAUGUAUGGUAUCAGUACAUGGAAUAAAGUCGUAACAAGGUUUCCGUAGGUGAACCUGCGGAAGGAUCAUUAAAAAAUGAGGCCUUUUUGAAAGGUCUAUUAAUAAUCCUACCCUUUGUGAAUUUGUUUGUUUGAAAUAAUUUUUUAAAAUUAUUGAAUGUCUUUCCCUGGUUGUUUGCUUUUGAAGUGAACUCCAGGGAAUGGCAGACGAUAAUAUUUAAAAGACUUUUUUUUAAAAUAAAACUUUUUGUAUUCAUUUGUCUAAAAUUAUUUUUAUAAUAUAAAAACAACUUUUGACAAUGGAUCUCUUGGUUCUCGCAACGAUGAAGAACGCAGCAAAAUGCGAUAAGUAGUGUGAAUUGCAGAAUACGUGAAUCAUCGAAUCUUCGAACGCAUAUUGCACUUUUUUAGUUUACUAAAAAAGUAUGUCUGUUUGAGUAUCAGUAAAAUAUUCUCAUAAAAAAUAUUUUUAUUUUUUAUGGUUAUGAGUGUUUUACAACGAUAAACAAGUUGUUUCACUUUAAAUUCUUUGUCAUCAAAAAAAUCAUUUAAAAACUAAUUUUAAAGAUUUUUUAAAAUUGGAUAAAAUUUUCCCGUAAAAAAGGAAUAACCUAAACAAUUUUAGAAAAUUAAAAUUGGUUUGAUUUUUUCUGGUAAAUAAAGGAAAAAAGUAAAAAUUAACUUGAUCUCAAAUCAGAUAAGAGUACCCGCUGAACUUAAGCAUAUCAAUAAGCGGAGGAAAAGAAACUAACUAGGAUUCCCUCAGUAACGGCGAGUGAAGCGGGAAGAGCUCAAAUUUGAAAUCUUCAAGGUUUUACCUUGACGAAUUGUAGUUUAAAGAAGUGUUUCUGUUGGAAUUUUGGUAAAAGUUCUUUGGAAAAAGACAUCAAAGAGGGUGAGAACUCCGUAUUUGACCAUUAUUUCCAACUUUGUGAUACACUUUCAAAGAGUCGGAUUGUUUGGGAAUGCAGUCCAAAAUGGGUGGUAAAUUUCAUCUAAAGCUAAAUAUUGGCGAGAGACCGAUAGCGAACAAGUACCGUGAGGGAAAGAUGAAAAGAACUUUGAAAAGAGAGUUAAACAGUACGUGAAAUUGUCAAAAGGGAAGCGUUUGACACCAGUGUUGUUUUCUCGAAAAUCAAUUAAAAAAUGUGGAUUUUGUGUUGUAUUGACUUUAUCAGCUUUCUGCACUUUUUCUGUCUUUUUUAAUGCACUUUUCGUUUAACAAGUCAACAUCAAUUUCUUUUGUUGUAAAAGGUCAUUGGAAGGUGGCUUUCUUUUCGGAGAAAGUGUUUAUAGCCUUUGGCUCUGCAAUCGGAGAGAUUGAGGUCUGCAGCGUAGAUCCUUCGGGUUAGAUACAUUUGUGCUAAGCUAUAGCUUUCAUAGACAACUUGUUGACUAUGUUAGUCUUGUAGCUUACUCGCUUAUGUAUUUACCUACGCUUAGGAUGUUGAG